rnacentral:rRNA from 1 species
AUUGAACGCUGGCGGCAGGCCUAACACAUGCAAGUCGAACGAGUGGCGGACGGGUGAGUAAUGUCUGGGAAACUGCCCGAUGGAGGGGGAUAACUACUGGAAACGGUAGCUAAUACCGCAUACCAUCGGAUGUGCCCAGAUGGGAUUAGCUAGUAGGGGGGGUAACGGCUCACCUAGGCGACGAUCCCUAGCUGGUCUGAGAGGAUGACCAGCCACGGUGGAACUGAGAAAUGGUCCGGACCCCUACGGGAGGCAGCAGUGGGGAAUAUUGCACAAUGGUCGCAAGCCUGAUGCAGCCAUGCCGCGUGUAUGAAGAAGGCCUUCGGGUUGUAAAGUACUUUCAGCGAGGAGGCGUUACUCGCAGAAGAAUCACCGGCUAACUCCGUGCCAGCAGCCGCGGUAAUAC